GAUGAACGCUGGCGGCGUGCCUAAUACAUGCAAGUCGAGCGAACGGACGAGGAGCUUGCUUCUCUGAUGUUAGCGGCGGACGGGUGAGUAACACGUGGAUAACCUACCUAUAAGACUGGGAUAACUUCGGGAAACCGGAGCUAAUACCGGAUGAUAUUUUGAACCGCAUGGUUCAAAAGUGAAAGACGGUUUUGCUGUCACUUAUAGAUGGAUCCGCGCUGCAUUAGCUAGUUGGUAAGGUAACGGCUUACCAAGGCAACGAUGCAUAGCCGACCUGAGAGGGGGGGAGGAAACACGGGAAGUGAGACGGGGAGCAGAGACCUACGGGAGGAAGCAGUCGGGAAUCGUGCGCAAUGGGGGAAAGCAGGACGGAGCAAAGUGGCGGGAGUGAUGAAGGUGUACGGAUCGUAAAACUCUGUUAUGAGGGAAGAACAAAAGUGCAAGUAACUAAGCAGGUCUUGACGGUACCGAAUCAGAAAGCAACGGCUAACUACGUG
rnacentral:rRNA from 1 species